GUUGGUCUGGUCGCUGAGCAGUUUGGAGCAGUCUGCGAUCACACAGAUUUCGUAUUUCUCCGUGGGUGAGAAAUAUCUGCGUAGAGGAAUCGUGCAGGCCGCGGAAAUCGAGCAGGGGAGAACGAAGGCACGUGAAGGUGCAUGUGAGGUGACAGCUGGGUGAAUUUCUAAUGUGACGCAGCACGCCACAGAAAAGCAUUAUAAGCCACUACCGUUGUUUAUCCAGGGGGUUAAGUGCUCACACCAAUUUAUUUGUACUGUGUUUAAUUAAUUAAUUAAUUUUAUUUUAUUUUUUGUUACUGUGGGGCUAUCCUUGUAAAGGGAAAAAAAGGGGAAUUGGCGAAACUGGCCUGAAGUUAUUUCGGUAACUGUGAGCACUAUUUGAAGUGCUUAUAUUUUUGGAUUUGUUUCUUUAUACCUUUGGGGAAGCGUGCUUUUGGUUGUGUUUAUUCUUCACUGUAUACAUUUCAUCGGCACAACUCCCCUCAAUUGAAAACCUUGAGUAUUAAUGCCGCGUCUUCUGCAUACGCGGUCGGAA